CCCACGCGCCUUCCACAUUGAGCGCAUCGCCAUCUUGAGAGGGGAGGAGCCGUAGUGACUUGAGUGACGUCUGCCCAGAGAGCCAGUCCCAGAGUUGCGGCUGUUUGGCUUGCUGCGUAAGCGCCCCUGUCUUCCGGGCCUACUGGAGUCCGGUCUUUGCCCAGCAGUCCCUGCAAAUCUCGUCUUGCUUGAAACAAUAGAUUAAAACCAGACUGGCAGUUGGGGAACGCUUUCUAUUGCAACCAUGUGUGUCAGAAGAAAGGAUUAGGUUUCCUUGUCCAAGAACAUCAAGGGGAACCUCCACCUCUGCAGACACACCUUUAUUCCUGGAGUACAGCUCUUCAAAGAAGACAGAGAAUUGCUCCUCCCUCAGGCUUGCAUCAUCUCACUAUUUAUCAUCCGGCUCUCUGUUUGCCAGCAUCUCUUCUCAAGGAUCUGUCCGCAUCAGUUCUGCAUCUAAGUUGAUGAACUUCCAUCAGGAGGGUUAAAGCAUUGGGAAACGAGAGAAGAAAUUGUGUUCCAAAAAUCCCUUCUUGAACCACGAUGAUCCACCUAGAGCACUAUGAUACCUGGAGGUAGUAGAGGUCUGUCUGUGUAAUUUUCUUGCUGUAUAAUACUCCAUUCUAUGAAGGUAACAUAAUUUGUUCACCCAUUCUACUGUUGAUGGACAGGUUGCACUAAUCUGUGCUCUCACUAACUGAGAAUUCCAAGAGCUCCACAUUCUCAUCACACCUGACAUUACUGGACUUGAUCAAUUCUAUGAACCUGGUGAGCCUGAGAAUUUUCCAGCUAUAAAAAGAAUGGAAGCAAUUGGUGGCAGAGGAAAUAAUAUGUGUUACAGUCUAGUGGAAUGAAUGAACUUGAAGCAAAUCCCCUCAAGAGAGGCCUACAGAGACUGUGGCCCCUGCGGAUAGCUUGACUGCAACCUCAUGAGAUCUGGAACCUCUCCUAUAAGUCACUCUGCAUCCUUGACCCAGAGAAGCCCUGAAAUAAGAGAGAGAGCACGCGCACAAGAGAGCAAGCACAAGCAG